UGGGGAUAGGUUAUCCGUGCUCUGAGUCUGAGAAGGGGAUUUGGGGGAGGCUUAAGGUAGAAACAAAAGAUCUCAGUUUUGCCAUCCAAAUCAACCCAUGGCCAGAUCAGAUUUAGGGUAAAUUGAUUUAAUGGUCAGGAAUGCAUUUGGUGGCCAGUCUUCCAGGGGGCCCAUGAAAGUUCAGGGUGAGUUGUAUGAUGAUUGUUUUAUAGUAGAAAUAAAUGAUUGAUAAUACCUGCUUUCAACUUCUCCAGGAAAAGGUAAUAUUUUUCAUGCUUUGUAUUGUCCGGCUCUAGGGCUUUAAUGACAAAUUUGUUCGAGUGCCCAAACAGGUCUAAUGCCCUUUCUGAAGGCAGUUUGGUGCUGCUGGAAGGUACAUUGAUAGGACUCCAUUAGGACAAGGGUGUAUCUGACAAAAUAAUGUUCAUAUUGUCCCUGGCACUCUGUGGGUGGAUCUCUGCCAUUUGUUAAGGAGUUUCACCUUUGGUAAUUGCAUACUUACUCAUUCACACUAUAAAUAUUCAUUGACUCCCUUCUAUAUGCUUGGCAUUGUGCUAGGUACUGGGGUUAUGGUAUAGGAAGCAAAACAUGCUUUUGUCUAUUAAAGAAAGGCAAACAGACUAUGUAUAAGAAGUACCAUAAUUGAAAUUCCAGAAAGAAUGCUUGAAAAACAUGAUUUCUAUUCCACUCUAAUAAAUCUCCUAUAGUAGAGUUUCAUGUUUCAGGUGGCUCAUAACUAGAAAGAUAUUUCUGGUAAGGAGGCUUUUAAAUCACACCUCCAUGUCUGUUGCUGGUAUCUAAAGCAAACUGAUAUUUCAGUCAGCAAUCCAAAGCAACUGAACUUCAAGAAAAGGGCCAGAAGAUCAAUGCUGGGAGCUCUCUUCAGUGGCUUCAUGCCUAGCAUCUAUUUCUGCAGAAUAGACUCUCUCAGCUGUCACACUGGGUCUAGUAGGAGAUCUAGAAACCUUCAUGUCUGGACUGCAAUACUUCAGCUGUAGGUAGAAAUGCCUUCACAGAAUCAGGAUUUCACACGAUGUCUCUGACUUUUAUAAAAGAUGGGCAUAAGGAAGCCUCUGAGUCUUUUGUAAACUUACAUUUGAGGCUUAAUCAUUAACAUUUUCUUUUUUCUUCCCUAAAAAUACAGGUGACAAAUUUAUUUGGAUAUUGAAUUCCCAUUUAGCAGGAGUAUACCUGGCUCAUGGUAGUUGCCACAUAAGUAUUUGCUGAAUGAGUGGAUGAAUGAACUAGUAUAUAUUGAGUCUAGUAUUUGCUAGAGUUUGUGCUAGGUGAUUGGUGAUUGUACAUGUUAUCUAUUAAUUCCUCUGGUAACACACUUUUAUGUUUUAAAAUCUUUUAAUAAAGUAAAAGUUUUA
rnacentral:lncRNA from 1 species